UCACGGCAAUCCCUCCGAGGCGCAUAGCCUGCGGUUUCCUUCGGGAGAUACGGCUUUGCGUCCGUGAUCUUCGGAUCAACAGGGUGGACGGGGAAACGCGUCCGCCUCCCGCGCUUGGAAAGGAGAACGAACCAUGCCCCC
rnacentral:ncRNA from 2 species